CGUGUGACAACGAGACAGGGACCACGUCUUCCUCCCAGUCCCUAUAGCUGCUGCUGGUCUCCGGGUCCUGGGCCUCCGACCUCUUCGGAGGAACCAUGACCUUCAACCCCAUAGGGACCAACACAGAUUGAACCUACAGGGAAGGGAAGAGGACAAACUGAUCUUCAGAAACGAGAUUAUGUUCUUUUGACGACUCCAGUGCUGUGAUCAACAGGAGGCACUGGGUGAAGCUUUAGUUCUGCGGUGUCUAACCCCCACAGAAGGGCAACGUGAACCUGGAAUUCCUGUCCCACAAGAUUCCAAGAGAAAUGCUUUAGGAAGGUCACCUACCAGUUUGAAAUCUUCCACAACAGUUAUUUCAUCAGGAUGGUGGAUCCAGCCAGUUACCCAGUGGAGGUGGAUCUGAAGGAGAUGGUCGACACGGAGAUCACGUCCACAACCUCUGUCCACAACACUGAGAUGUUUGUGGAGUCCUGCAAGACCACGCUCUCAGACAACCCGAAUGAUCCUGACCACUACAGCAUCAUCCAAAAUGGGUCAGGGACAAAAAACCCAAAAGAAAACAUUGGUUCCUUGUUGUAUACGUUCAUUAUAUACUUUACUGCAGCGCUCCUACCGGUUAAAACACUAUAUACAGGGGCCUCCCGGGUGGCGCAGUGGUUAAGGGCUGUGCCACCAGAGACUCUGGGUUCGCUCCCAGGCUCUGUCGUAACCGGACGCGACCGGGAGGUCCGUGGGGCGACGCACAAUCAGCCUAGCGUCAUCCGGGUUAGGGAGGGUUUGGCCAGUAGGGAAAUCCUUGUCUCAUUGCGCACCAGUGACUCCUGUGGCGGGCCGGGCGCAGUGCACGCUAACACACGGCUGGCUUACAGGUUGGACGCGCGCUGUGUUAAAGAAGCAGUGCAGCUUGGUUGGGUUGUGUAUCGGAG
ensembl:lncRNA